rnacentral:lncRNA from 1 species
CCGCUGCCAUGUAAGAAGUGCCUUUUGCCUCCCACUAUCAUUCUGAGGCCUUCCCACCCAUGUGGAACUCUGAACUCACAAGAAAAUAAGGAAGACCUCCUGGAGGGAAAACAAGCAAGAACUGAAAACAAGUGCCGUCAGUGAAUGGAAUGAGAGACGGGGUUUCACCGUGUUAGCCAGGACGGUCUCAAUCUCCUGACCUCGUGAUCCGCCUGCCUU